UAUAAAUAUUGGUUGCAUAUAGGAACAAUCUAAUUUAGACUACCAGUGAAAUCCGACCCCAGAAUCUCAAAGAAGAUGGCCAGUUCGAAGACUCAGCAGGUUGUGGCUCUGAGCUUAUUAUGCUUGCUUCUUGUGGCUUUUUCGUACUCUGCCGAGGCAGCUGCAAGACCAGUUACUGAUGUUGCAGGAGCAGUAGCAAAUGAUGCGCGACAGGAGUGUAUUCAGAAAUGCAAAUCACUCGGAGGCGUUUGUUUGUGUCGUCCUGCUCGGCUACAAGGUUGUUGUUGUUGUUGGCAAUAGGGUCACUCUCUAAGUUGAUAAUGAUGGAUCUCUGGUCUUGUCUUUCCAAUGUCCUAAUAAUAAUAAUAAGAAGGAAAUAAAUGAUGGAUCUAUUUACCCCUUUUAUUUUUUUAAUCUUGGAAAUGAAAAUUUACCAUGCUCUGUUCUGUUCUCAA